AGAGUUUGAUCAUGGCUCAGAAUGAACGCUGGCGGCAGGCCUAACACAUGCAAGUCGAACGAAGCCUUCGGGCUUAGUGGCGGACGGGUGAGUAACGCGUGGGAACAUACCCAAAGGUACGGAAUAGCCUCGGGAAACUGGGAGUAAUACCGUAUGUGCCCUUUCACUGUAGUGGUGGGAGGGGAAAGAUUUAUCGCCUUUGGAUUGGCCCGCGUUGGAUUAGGUAGUUGGUGGGGUAAUGGCCUACCAAGCCGACGAUCCAUAGCUGGUUUGAGAGGAUGAUCAGCCACACUGGGACUGAGACACGGCCCAGACUCCUACGGGAGGCAGCAGUGGGGAAUCUUAGACAAUGGGCGCAAGCCUGAUCUAGCCAUGCCGCGUGAUCGAUGAAGGCCUUAGGGUUGUAAAGAUCUUUCAGAUGGGAAGAUAAUGACGGUACC
rnacentral:rRNA from 1 species